ensembl:lncRNA
CUCCUUGAUAGGCAUUCCUCCAUCAUCACAUGCUAGAGUACUUUCUGCUGUUAACUGUGGACAGCAGAUGAUGAUCACUUCUUGACUGCUGCUGAAAGGGUUUAAUUUCUUUCCCCAAGCCUUACAAGUCCCACUGCAGAAGUACAAAUACACUGACAGCAGAUAGUACACAUGCUGUGAACAACUAUUAGGCAGUUUUAAGUUAAAAAGGGUUAAGUUAUGUUAUGGGCAAUGAGGAGUAUUAGAGACUAUUUUGAGGAUGUCCUUUUAAUAGUGACAGAACAGAAUUCUACUGUCCACUCAUCCCUAGAUGCUUCUGCUGCUAGAAAGGCAUCUACCACAGACUUCUCUACAUCAACAUCACCUGCUACAAGACAGCUGACUCAAAAAUCUCUGUGUGAGGAAGCUGGAGACAUAUGUGGGAGGAGAAUUCAUCAUCCUUAAAAGUUAUCUGGACAAAGCCCCUUUUAAAUGCAACAAGGGAUAAUAAGAAGGAGGAAGAUGGAGAAAAAAUACAUAGAGACACAGACAGGGGACACGUGUGAUCGAUUGUAAAGCAACCUGGCAAUUUGCUAUGCAUCUUUGCUACCAUUUGAGCCUACAACCAGGAAAGCAGCAGUUCAUGUCCCUGGGGCACUGGGCUGGAUUCCUGCAUCUGGUCAGGGGACCCCCUAGUUUGGAGCAGCUGAACAGCUGGAGCAGGUGGCCAAGCUCCUGAUACCCCUAAGCAGUAUCUUGAUAAUUUCUCCCUCUUUUGAUAUUGUGUAACUAUACAGAAAUUGUAUGUUAUUCCUGUGUUUAUUUGGAACAAAAUUUUUUUACCAAUGUGGCUUUACUUGCACAAGGAGCUGUGAUAAGCAGUUCAAAGCUGCUGUUUUCCAUGAUGUGGUUUAAUCCCAGCUGGCAAAAAAGCACCACACAGCUACUUGCUUGUGCCCCUACCACCAGGACUGGGGGAGACUUGCAAAGUUAAAGUGAAAAAUCUCAUGGGCAGAGAUAAAGACUGUUUAAUAGGUAAACACCUUGCACACAAGCAAAGCAAAACAAAGAAUUCAUUCACUGCUGCCAACAGGAAGGCAGGUGUUCAACCACCCCCAGAAGAGCAGGGUUCCAUCACACCUAACAGACUUGGGCAGACAAACACCAUCACUCCGAAUGUCCAGGAUUCCUUCUUAUCCUCCCAGCUUUAUGUGCUUACAUGAUGCUGUACAGUGUGGGAUAUUCCUCGGGUCACUUGCAGCUUGGUCCCCUCCCAGCUCCUGGUGCAGCUCCAGCCUCCCCACUGGCAGGGCAGCACAAGCAGCAGUGGCCUUUGUGCUGGGUAUGUGUGGCUCAGCAGUAACAUAAACAUCUGUAUAUUACAGACACCCUUCUCAGCACAAAUACAAAACGUAGCUCUAUACAUAGCUCUAUACAAGCUACUGUAGGGGAAAUUAACAGUACUCCAGUCCAAAGCAGAAAAAUGAGAAUGCUAAUAUUUUUUCUAAAAGCUCACCUGAACAGGUGGCUGAUGAAGAAAAUUCCAAUCAAUCUUUCUUUGUGCUGAAUCCAUUAUAAUGGCUAAUUCAAAGACUGAUUCCCCCUGAUAGCUACCAGCUAUUUGAAUUCAUUACUGCUAAAUUAUAUCUGUUUUACAGUUACUCCAAAAAAUGACAAACUGGAAAUAUAUGCCCAGAAGUUCACGCUAUUAUGCACAGGGCAGGUUUUUCUCAGCUGUUUUGGUCACUGAAUAUAAUUAAGACACUAUUGGUUAAGAGAAAUAUGCAAAAGUUUGAAUGUUUAAGACUACCACAUUGCUACUUGAGGUAGGGAAGAUCAGCCUUAAAAAGCACAACAACCCCAUAUUGUGCCCUGAUGAAAUGUGGCUUUUUCGGUCUAACCUUCUAAUAGUUCAGGAAAUAUUUUCUGACAAUUCAGAUAUUUGAACAGUCUAAUUUAUUAUUUCCAUUAUCCAGUCCCUAAGCACAGUGAGACUACUCCCCUUUCAUUCCCAGAACUUCAUUUUCUUAGAAUUUGCUCCUUGUUCUUUUCCACAAACACAAGAACAGUCAGCUCCUUUUGCUGUUUCAUCUACCAAACAGUAAGUAUGCUUUCAGAGCUUAGCAAAUAGUACACUUGUGCUGUGGCUUUUACUCCGCUGCAUUUUCAGUUUUUACGACUGUGAAUGUGCUGGGCACAGUAAUGACAGCCUGGAGAGCUCGAGUCAUUUAUUGCAAGGCUGCUUCUUUUCAAGGCUUGUGAACACCCACAGAGACUCCUACGUCUGCAGAAACAAGAGGCUGAUCACACGUCUGUGAACCACACAGGUGCCAGCAAGUUCUGCUAGUGCUGGGCAACUGCUGCGGUAGAUUUCUGCCAAGAAACAGACUUCCAUUUUUUAUCACAGAGAGCUUUGAUUGACUCGCUAUCAGCAGUUAUCUUUCUGGAAUAGGUUUGGAGCAGCACUCAAUGCACAAAAGAUUAAAAUCUCUCUCUGGACAACUAAGCUUUUGCAAUCCAUCCCACCUCAUUCACUUUAAAAAUGCAUUCCAAAUCACUGGAUAGCACAAGGCUAAUUUUGAAAGCAAGCCCCAAAGGUUUAAUCAAAACUGAGCAAUUCAGGAAAAACAGAAAAUAAACUUUGUUGUUCUUAUGGCUUCCA